UGAGGAAUAUUGCGCAAUGGAGGAAACUCUGACGCAGCCACGCCGCGUGCAGGAAGACACCCCUCAGGGGCGUAAACUGCUUUUGUACGGGAAGAACACCUCCUUAUGGGAGGCCUGACGGUACCGUACGAAUAAGGACCGGCUAACUCCGUGCCAGCAGCCGCGGUAAUACGGAGGGUCCAAGCGUUGUCCGGAAUCACUGGGUGUAAAGGGUGCGUAGGCGGGCGUGUAAGUCAGGGGUGAAAGCCACCGGCCUAACCGGUGAACUGCCCUUGAUACUGCACGUCUUGAGUCCUGGAGAGGCUAUCGGAAUUCGUGGUGUAGCGGUGAAAUGCGUAAAUAUCACGAGGAACACCUGAUGCGUAGGCGGAUAGCUGGACAGGUACUGACGCUAAGGCACGAAAGCGUGGGGAGCGAACAGGAUUAGAUACCCCCGUAGUCC
rnacentral:rRNA from 1 species